rnacentral:misc_RNA from 1 species
CAAGGAUAGUGAAACUGCAAUUGCCUCGCUCCAGAGCUCAAAGGAGUAUUUAGAGAAGCAGAUGGCUGAGGUGGAGAACAACUUGAGGGAGCUGUUGCAACAAGAUCCAGGUAUAGCUCGCCAGAUUAUGUCUAUGUCUGUAGCAUAGGGCAGCCUCUCUCCCCUUGAAAUUGACAUUAGCUCAGCUUUGUGUAUUGAAUGUUCUUGUUCUUGGGUCAGAAGAAUUUGGCUGGUGUGGUGUUAGUGAGUUGUGAUUCUACUUGGUUGGCUUCUAU